GGGGCUGUAGCUCAGGGUUAGAGCGCUUGCCUAGCAUGUGUGAGGCAAGGUUCGAUCCUUAGCACCA
rnacentral:tRNA from 1 species